rnacentral:rRNA from 1 species
UACAGAGGUCCCGAGCGUUAGGCGGAAUCACUGGGCUUAAAGCGUGUGUAGGCGGAUCGUUAAGUACCUUGUGAAAUCCCACGGCUUAACCGUGGAACUGCUUGGUAUACUGGCGGUCUUGAGCCACUUAGGGGCUACCGGAACAAAUGGUGGAGCGGUGAAAUGCGUAGAUAUCAUUUGGAACGCCAAUGGUGAAAACAGGUAGCUGGGAGUGUGCUGACGCUGAGACACGAAAGCCAGGGGAGCAAACGGGG